rnacentral:misc_RNA from 1 species
AUUCCCACCUCAAGCACUCUUCCUUCUUCCAAUUUGCAACAGUUGGAUCUGAUGGGAGACCUUCCAAUCGCACUGUGGUUUUCAGAGGAUUUGCAGAGAACAGCGAUAAGAUCCUAAUCAACACAGAUUCUAGAACUCGUAAGAUUGAAGAACUUAAGCAAUGUCCAUUCGCUGAGAUAUGUUGGUAUUUUACUGACUCCUGGGAGCAAUUCCGUAUCAAUGGAAGAGUUAACAUUAUUGAUGGGUUGAAUCCUGAUCCUGCAAAGCUUCAGAUAAGAGAGAAAUCAUGGUAUGCUAGUUCUGUAAAGUCAAGGAUGCAAUACCUUGGCCCUAACCCAGGUCUUCCUUGUCUAAGUGAGCAACCUUCCCAUGAAUUCUUUCUGGAUUCUUCCUCAGGCCCAGUUGCCACAUUUUGUCUGCUAGUUUUAGAUCCUGAGCAGGUUGAUUACUUGAAUUUGAAGAGUAACCAGAGGACAAUGUUUACCUUAAUGCGAAAUGUCAACGGAGU